rnacentral:rRNA from 1 species
GGAAUGAUGGGAAUUUAAACCUCUUCCAGAGUAUCAAUUGGAGGGCAAGUCUGGUGCCAGCAGCCGCGGUAAUUCCAGCUCCAAUAGCGUAUAUUAAAAUUGUUGCAGUUAAAAAGCUCGUAGUUGAAUUUCUGCUGCAUUACAUUUUCUCUUUGAUGAGUUUGUGUAUUGUGGCUUAUUUCGGAUGAUAUUAAUUGUCCGAAUGAUUACUUUGAGAAAAUUAGAGUGCUCAAAGCAGGCUUUUGCCUUGAAUAGUUUAGCAUGGAAUAAUAAAGUAGGACUUUGGUUCUAUUUUGUUGGUUUUAGGUACCAAAGUAAUGGUUAAUAGGAACAGUUGGGGGCAUUCGUAUUUAACUGUCAGAGGUGAAAUUCUUAGAUUUGUUAAAGACGAACUACUGCGAAAGCAUUUGCCAAGGAUGUUUUCAUUAAUCAAGAACGAAAGUUA